rnacentral:rRNA from 1 species
UACGUAGGGGGCAAGAGUUGUCCGGAUUUAUUGGGCGUAAAGAGCGUGUAGGCGGCCAUGUAGGUCCGUUGUGAAAACUCGAGGCUCAACCUCGAGACGCCGAUGGAAACCAUGUGGCUAGAGUCCGGAAGAGGAGAGUGGAAUUCCUGGUGUAGCGGUGAAAUGCGCAGAUAUCAGGAAGAACACCCGUGGCUAAGGCGGCUCUCUAGUACGGUACUGACGCUGAGACGCGAAAGCGUGGGGAGCGAACAGG